rnacentral:rRNA from 1 species
GACGAACCGUGCGAACGUUGUUCGGAAUCACUGGGCUUAAAGGGCGCGUAGGCGGUUUGCCGAGUCAGGGGUGAAAUCCUGCAGCUCAACUGUAGAAGUGCCUUUGAUACUGGCGAACUCGAGGGAGGUAGGGGGUGGGUGGAACUUCUGGUGGAGCGGUGAAAAUGCGUUGAUAUCAGAAGGAACGCCGGUGGCGAAAGCGAACCCACUGGAUCUCUACUGACGCUGAGGCGCGAAAAGCUAGGGGGAGCAA